rnacentral:rRNA from 1 species
UACGUAGGGUGCAAGCGUUGUCCGGAAUUAUUGGGCGUAAAGAGCUCGUAGGCGGUUCGUCGCGUCGGCUGUGAAAUCCCGAGGCUCAACCUCGGGUCUGCAGUCGAUACGGGCGGACUGGAGUUCGGCAGGGGAGACUGGAAUUCCUGGUGUAGCGGUGAAAUGCGUAGAUAUCGAGAGGAACACCUGCGGCGAAGGCGGGUUGCUGGGCUGACACUGACGCUGAUGCGCGAAAGCCAGGGGAGCGAACGGG